AGUUUGGGAUGCACAAUCUACAAAACCCCACAGCCCCUGAGAAUUCUCUCGCCUGCCUUCGGCCCUUAGGCUCCGGGAGAUUGCAAAUAACCUGCUUUCUUUCUGUUCCCAGGUGGCGUCGGACCCCUGUCAGAGAGUAAAUCUCAAGUAAGGUACCUGCCAUCGGCAGAUUUGAGCUUUCUUCUUGGACACCUAAUACCCACAGUCCUCCAGGCUCCGGUAGACUGCAAAUGACCUGCUUUCUUUCUGUUCCCGGGCUGCGUUUGGACCCCUGUCGGAUAGUAAAUCCCAAGUAAGGUACCUGCCCUCGGCAGAUUUGAGCUUUCUUCUUGGACACCUAAUACCCACAGUCCCCCAGGCUCCGGUAGACUGCAAAUGACCUGCUUUCUUUCUGUUCCCGGGCUGCGUUUGGACCCCUGUCGGACAGUAAAUCCCAAGUAAGGUACCUGCCCUCGGCAGAUUUGAGCUUUCUUCUUGGACACCUAAUACCCACAGUCCUCCAGGAAUGGAACAGAUAAGAAGAUACUGAAAUUGGACGGUGCUGCCGUGCGGCUGCCGCAGGACACCUUUAAUAUCCCUGUUUCUCAGGCUGUAGAUGAAGGGGUUCAGCAUGGAGGUGAUCACCGUGUACAUCACUGAGGCCACUGCAGCCUUUCUCGGGGAAGAUGACACAUCUGAACUGAGGUACCCUCCAAAGCCUGUUCCGUAAAAUCAGCAAACAACUGACAGGAUAACUUCAGGAAGUGGGUAUUAAUUCUCACGGUAUAAGUGAAGACAUUAAGCACCAGAGUUUAAGUAGCUUGAUCCACUGAAAGAGAUUCAACUGUGUGGAACCUAUGCCGUGGAGAAUUGCUUUCUGCCAUUGUUAUCGUCCAGCAGUUGCCGAAUAGCUCUGACCUGAGCAAAGCAGUGAAACGCGGUGCUGUUGAGUGGGUUGCCACUGCACCUUUUUCAACUACUCUAGUCUUGUGGAGAAAAUACCCCUUCUAAAUUUUUUCUUCAUUGAAUACUCUCCCUCAGCUCCAGAGUACCAUAUAGAGUUUUCUUGUAUUUUAGAGUUACUGUUUUAUCAAAGUUUACCAGUCUUUUGUAUUACAUUUCUCCUGUCUAAAUCGACUGUGUGGUUUCUACUCAUUAUGGAUAUAGAUUGAUACAAACUCAAUAAAUAUUUUUGAAUGAAUAA
rnacentral:lncRNA from 1 species